GCUCAAGCUGCUGCUAAAGAGCUGUAUUGAUCUGAAGGGUAAAUGUGUAGAGAGAGAGCCAGAGAGCUAGAGAGAAAGAGAGAGAUCCAGAUCCAAUCAUUUCUGAGAAGAGAGACAACCACUCUGCCAGAAAGAAAGUGCUUUCAACCCAUCUGUGUUCCUUGUCACAUCUUUGGUGAAUGAAAAAGAGGACGCCUGUGAAAGCUGUUCGUUGCUACGGUGGGGUACAGACAAGGUUUUCCCUUAGCCGAAGCUGCUGUUGCAUCUUGCAGCCGCUGCUGCUUCUCUUACUGCUGCAGUUGCAUAGAGCAGGAAAUAGAAUAGCCUGCACUUGGUGACAGUGUGGUAAUCUGGAGCACUUGGAAUUUGCUAGGAGGAAAACUUCUCUCCGCUACUGCUGACUCCAGGUAAUCUGAUUCUGAAUGUUGCAUCCAAUUUUGGAAAAAGAUUAGAGAGAAU
rnacentral:lncRNA from 11 species